AUACUUAAACUGGCAGGGAUUUACCAUGAUCAUGAAGGUGGUUUUUCCCUGGAUGAGGCUUAUCCAUUGCACUACUGAUGUGCUGACUCCUACGAUUUCCCCAAAUUGUGAGAAACUUGACUGCAUAAUUUGUAGGUAGUGGGGAACAGUGUUGCAUUCUCCCCUA